GAUGAACGCUGGCGGCGUGCCUAAUACAUGCAAGUCGAACGCACAGCGAAAGGUGCUUGCACCUUUCAAGUGAGUGGCGAACGGGUGAGUAACACGUGGACAACCUGCCUCAAGGCUGGGGAUAACAUUUGGAAACAGAUGCUAAUACCGAAUAAAACUUAGUGUCGCAUGACACAAAGUUAAAAGGCGCUUCGGCGUCACCUAGAGAUGGAUCCGCGGUGCGUUAGUUAGUUGGUGGGGUAAAGGCCUACCAAGACAAUGAUGCAUAGCCGAGUUGAGAGACUGAUCGGCCACAUUGGGACUGAGACACGGCCCAAACUCCUACGGGAGGCUGCAGUAGGGAAUCUUCCACAAUGGGCGAAAGCCUGAUGGAGCAACGCCGCGUGUGUGAUGAAGGCUUUCGGGUCGUAAAGCACUGUUGUAUGGGAAGAACAGCUAGAAUAGGAAAUGAUUUUAGUUUGACGGUACCAUACCAGAAAGGGACGGCUAAAUACGUG
rnacentral:rRNA from 1 species